AUCCUGGCUCAGGAUGAACGCUAGCGGCAGGCUUAACACAUGCAAGUCGAGGGGCAGCGGGUUGUAGCAAUACAAUGCCGGCGACCGGCGAAAGGGUGAGUAACGCGUGAGCAACAUGCCCGUCUGAGGGGGAUAGUCGAUGGAAACGUCGCGUAAUACCCCGUAACACAUUUCACCGCAUGAUGAGAUGUUGAAAGAUUUAUCGCAGACGGAUUGGCUCGCGUACCAUUAGCUAGUUGGCGGGGUAACGGCCCACCAAGGCGACGAUGGUUAGGGGUUCUGAGAGGAAGGUCCCCACAUUGGAACUGAGACACGGUCCAGACUCCUACGGGAGGCAGCAGUGAGGAAUAUUGGUCAAUGGCCGAGAGGCUGAACCAGCCAUGCCGCGUGCGGGAAGACGGCCCUAUGGGUUGUAAACCGCUUUUUGUGGGAGCAAUAAGGGUCACGUGUGGCCCGAUGAGAGUACCAUGAGAAUAAGCAUCGGCUAACUCCGUGCC
rnacentral:rRNA from 1 species